rnacentral:rRNA from 1 species
UACGUAGGGGGCAAGCGUUAUCCGGAUUUACUGGGUGUAAAGGGAGCGUAGACGGCUUGGCAAGCCAGAUGUGAAAGGCUGGGGCUCAACCCCAGGACUGCAUUUGGAACUGUCAUGCUAGAGUGUCGGAGAGGCAGGCGGAAUUCCUAGUGUAGCGGUGAAAUGCGUAGAUAUCAGGAGGAACACCAGUGGCGAAGGCGGCCUGCUGGACGAUGACUGACGUUGAGGCUCGAAAGCGUGGGGAGCAAACAGG